UACGUAGGGUGCGAGCGUUGUCCGGAUUUAUUGGGCGUAAAGGGCUCGUAGGCGGCCUGUCGCGUCGGGAGUGAAAGCCCACUGCUUAACGGUGGGUCUGCUUUCGGUACGGGCGGGCUAGAGUAUGGCAGGGGAGACUGGAAUUCCUGGUGUAGCGGUGGAAUGCGCAGAUAUCAGGAGGAACACCGGUGGCGAAGGCGGGUCUCUGGGCCAUUACUGACGCUGAGGAGCGAAAGCGUGGGGAGCGAACAGG
rnacentral:ncRNA from 2 species